rnacentral:ncRNA from 1 species
GAAAAGGCAAACCCGCUGAAAAACGGGGACGCACAGCCACGGGUCUAAAGCUGAGAGGCCAGGACAGCCGGGUCACCGA